AUUGAACGCUGGCGGAAUGCUUUACACAUGCAAGUACGAGCGGCAAGCCGCGGGGGGCAACCCUGGCGGCGAGCGCGAACGGGUGAGUAAUACAUUCGGAACGUGUCCGUUAAGUGGGGGAUAGCUCGGCGAAAGCCGGAUUAAUACCGCAUAAGCUCUGAGGAGGAAAGCGGGGGCUCCGUAAGGACCUUACGCGGCUGUUGGAGCGGCCGAUGUCGGAUUAGCUAGUUGGU
rnacentral:rRNA from 1 species